rnacentral:lncRNA from 1 species
CAGUAUUUGCAGUUUGAUUUGAAUUACCCGAAGGAAUAAAUUCCAUUUUCAGUGAUGAGGAUUAAAAGAGAGCAUCAAGGUAUUACUACAGUCAGACAACAUCCACAGUGUCCUACAUUAAGCAUUCCCUGAAAGUAAAGAUUUGCAUGUUCCACGUUAAUUAUCCCACCUCUAACUGUACCCCCUUGCCAUAAUACCCUAAUGAAAGUGCUAUUUAUAUUAAUAAAGCAUUUCACUCCUAGGAAGAGCCCAUCACACGGGCCCUCACUCUGCACAUGAACCCUCUGAAAUGACGAAGGAAGAGAAGGAGCUCUGCCCCAAGCAGACAGAGAGUCUGCAAGCACAAUUCAGUUUCUCUGCCAGCUCACCCCUCGACCUUCUGCCGAGAAUGACAUUAUAACACCAGCUCUGGUGACAGUUUGGGAUGUGGAUAUUUAUCCACUGAAGCUCUGGACCAAACCCAGCAAUUCCCUGCAUCCAGAGGAUAAAAGGUGCCACUGGGCAGCUCUGACUUUCAGCCUUUGCUGUCUGGGGUCAGCAGGGAGCCAGUGACCUUUCCACAGAUGACACCAUGGCCUGUCAGAGAACUCUCAUUUAAAAUACUCCUCUAAAAUUGAUAAAGAUACACCCUAAUCACUAAUCAAAGAACAGCUUUAAUGCCUCGAAAAUAUGGAGCAAGCUGCAGCAUCAGAAUAAAUUAGAACUGAUUUUGAGCA